rnacentral:rRNA from 1 species
CAGCUAACGCAUUAAGUAGACCGCCUGGGGAGUACGGCCGCAAGGUUAAAACUCAAAUGAAUUGACGGGGGCCCGCACAAGCGGUGGAGCAUGUGGUUUAAUUCGAUGCAACGCGAAGAACCUUACCUGCCCUUGACAUACUAAGAACUUACUAGAGAUAGUUUGGUGCCUUCGGGAACUUAGAUACAGGUGCUGCAUGGCUGUCGUCAGCUCGUGUCGUGA